rnacentral:rRNA from 1 species
CCUACGGGUGACAGCAGUGAGGAAUAUUGGUCAAUGGACGAGAGUCUGAACCAGCCAAGUAGCGUGAAGGAUGACUGCCCUAUGGGUUGUAAACUUCUUUUAUACAGGAAUAAAACGAGGCACGUGUGCCUUUUUGCAUGUACUUUAUGAAUAAGGAUCGGCUAACUCCGUGCCAGCAGCCGCGGUAAUACGGAGGAUCCGAGCGUUAUCCGGAUUUAUUGGGUUUAAAGGGAGCGUAGAUGGGUUGUUAAGUCAGUUGUGAAAGUUUGCGGCUCAACCGUAAAAGUGCAAUUGAUACUGGCAGUCUUGAGUACAGUUGAGGUAGGCGGAAUUCGUGGUGUAGCGGUGAAAUGCUUAGAUAUCACGAAGAACCCCGAUUGCGAAGGCAGCUUACUGAACUGUGACUGACAUUGAUGCUCGAAAGUGUGGGUAUCGAACAGGAUUAGAUACCCGAGUAGUC